GAUGAACGCUGGCGGCGUGCCUAACACAUGCAAGUCGAACGAAGCUUGACGGAUGAUUUCUUCGGAAUGAAACCAGAUAUGACUUAGUGGCGGACGGGUGAGUAACACGUGAGCAACCUGCCUUUCAGAGGGGGAUAACGGCUGGAAACGGUCGCUAAUACCGCAUGAUGUGUUCGGAUGGCAUCAUCUGAACAUCAAAGAUUUAUCGCUGAAAGAUGGGCUCGCGUCUGAUUAGAUAGUUGGUGGGGUAACGGCCUACCAAGUCUACGAUCAGUAGCCGGACUGAGAGGUUGAACGGCCACAUUGGGACUGAGAUACGGCCCAGACUCCUACGGGAGGCAGCAGUGGGGAAUAUUGCACAAUGGGGGAAACCCUGAUGCAGCAACGCCGCGUGAAGGAUGACGGUUUUCGGAUUGUAAACGUCUUUUCUUAGUGACGAAGACAGUGACGGUAGCUAAGGAAUAAGCAUCGGCUAACUACGUG
rnacentral:rRNA from 1 species